UAUGUGAGGACAUUACUUCUGGAAAGUCUUGGAGUGGGUAACAUGGGAUGCUUCCACUCUGCUGUCUGAGGUGGGUUGGGACCAGGACAACUGCAGCAGUCAGCUGUUUAGCAAGCUCCUCCGGCCCCUUGCUAUCACUAGGAGACUUGGGUCCACUCAGAGCAUCAAUGCAGGAGAAGAGUCAAUGGUUUUCCACCGUGUACAGAAAAAGUAACAAUUAAUUGCAAAUGGAAGAGUUAGCGUCUUGUAAGAGGUGAUAGAUGGAGUGGACUGAAAGGUUCAUCAUGGAAUAAAGAGUGUAAUGUACGUGUAAUAUGUACAUAUAACAUGUGCCACAGAGCAUUAGGACUUACUAUUUUGCAGGAGACAGGAGGCCCCAAAAUAAAGGAAGUUUAGUGGCUAGGUGUCUGUGUAGGCUUCAGGGAAGGUUGGUCCAGUGGCUGAAAGGAGCAAGUCCUGUUCCUUUUGACCAAACCUAUCAUCAACAGACUGAUCAUCUUUCAAUCACCAUCACAGUCCUGUUAUCCAUGUGGCUUAAAUUAGGUCAUUACAGAGAACAUGGUGUAUGAAGGUAGAUAUUUGAAGUGAUUCUGGUGCUCAAUUGUGAAGUGCUUGUGUUUUGUUUUGUUUUUGUUUUUGUCUUUUUAGGGCCACACCCAUGGCAUAUUGAGGUUCCCAGGCCAGGGGCUGAAUUGGAGCUACAGCUACUGGCCUACACCACAGCCCAGCAAUGUCAGAACCGAGCCAUGUCUGACCUACACCACAGCUCACGGCAACAUUGGAUCCUUAACCCACUGAGUGAGGCCAGGGAUUGAACCUGUGUCCUCAUGGAUGCUAGUCAGAUUCAUUUCUGCUGAGCCACGGUGGGCACUCAUAAAGAGCUCGUAGUACACACAUCGGCCUACUUUGUUCAGUUCAGCAAAUAACUUACCCACCUACUGGUGCAGAAGGCUGUGUAAGGCAAUUAGGUAGACGCUCUUCUCUGAGACUGGUUAUCUUGUGGGGCAGUGAAAACAGAAGUUAAGAAAAGUGAGUGAAAAAGCUGUACUGCUGCUCUGGGUGGUGGCCUUGACGAUUGUUUCCAGCCACUUGGACUUUGGGGCUUUUAUUUGCUUUCUCUGCAAUGUUGUGGUGUGUUUGUGGCAGGGGGAUUCUGGGGUCAUGAGUUAAGUUCAAGAAUAAGGAUGGAAGAUGAUGGUAGUUUCUGGUCUUAAGCUUUUAAGUCAAGGACUGCUUUCUAAAAUGUGUGUGAGUUCUUGGCAGGCAAGCCAACUUUGAACGGUGUGACAGGCCAUGUACAUGGCCCCAGAAUAGCAUCUGAAUUACUGUGUCUCUGCUUUUUCCCCUAACUCUCAAUUGCUGAUGGACAGAAAAUGCUCAUAAAACCUUGAUUCAAACCACAGAAUGGCUGAAUAAUUCAAGUUGGAAUUUUUUUUUUUUGAAGAAUUUUGAAUCCCAAAAUAGGACUCUUAAGGAAAUGGACAUGCUUUCUUUUUUCCUCCCUUUUAAGCUUAAUUAGGUUUACAGUUAGGUAAUGGGGGUCAGAUUUAGGGGAAAGUUUAAAAAAAUUUUUUAAGCCAGAGCUUAAGGUAUACACUAGGGUUUCUUUUUAUUUACAACUUUCUUAAACAAACAAAAAACAGCAAUCCCAAACUUAAAAUAAGCUAUUUGGUGAUAAACCUCUGUCCACCAUGAAGGGACUAGGUUAUACUUACAGGAGACAAAUGCCUUGUCAAUGUAUCAUAGAAUCUUUAACUAGUUUUGAUAAAAGUCUGUUCUUUUUAAUCUUCCAAACUAGAAAUUCAUUGUCAUGAAUUUGUUGUUGAUUUUGUUGUUAUUUCUUAGGCCUCUUCUUAGAUGUUGUUUCAUUUUCAGGAUUGUAGCAUGAUUGGAACAUUCUCUCGACAUCUCUUUCUUAGCAUUCAUCUGCCAACAACCUUAACAGUUCUGUGAGCCUUCUCUGUUCUGAUUUCUUCCCAAGAAUGACAGUUUAGAUCCCUGUCUUUCUUUUCUUUUGUUCUUUUUCACUCUAGUCCUCUUCUCACAAGGUGUACUGUCAGCAGUAGUUUAGAGAUUUGUUAUUCAGGUCAUAGCUCCUUCUGUGAAAAGUAAAAAUUCAAAUUCAGGUACUUUCUUCAUCUUUGAUUUUCCCAUCUCAUUUUCUUUUUUUUUAAUUUUAAAAAAUUUUUGUGUUAUAGACUUGGAGGAUGAGAAAGAACAGAGGAGGGAGAGGAUGGCUCUGUGACCUUCCUGUUCCAUGCUUGGCCUCACUGAUGAGCAGUGAAGUCUGAGGAAGUACCUUUCCAAGGUCGUGUGUAGAGCGAACCAGGGGUGAACUCAGUCUCUACAAUGAAGGGUCAACCAGGGGUGAACUCAGUCUCCACAACCCUGAUGUGCCCUGGGGUCCUCACCUAAGAAACUGCAUUUUGAUUUUUUUUUUUUUGGCUUUUUAGGGUCACACUGGUGGCAUAUGGAAGUUCCCAGACUAGGGGUCCAAUCAGACAUGUUUGAUCUGGAAGGGACCGUUUCAAGCCUUGGGGACAAAAACCUCGUCCUUGUUAUGUCCUGCAUUGCCACCAGUGUAAGCUGGACAAAUAAUAGGUGUCCCACUGAUUGUUGGUAAUUAAAGCCUAGAAUUUGUAGGGUUUGUGAAAGCUCUGGUAUUUCAGCUGCUCAUGUACAUUAGGUUUGAGUCAAGAACAAAAGCAAGGAAGAAAAUUUUAAGGCCAGACUAUCCAAGAGGCCAUUUACCACCAUUACUGUAGGCACUGAUGAGUGUUCUUUUUCCUCUGUAUUCCUUUUCUUUAAGGACUUGGUUACAAAUGAAGCCUUUAGCUUUGUCAGCUUGUUAACAGAUACUGAUAAGGCUUCUCUGUCCCAGAGGUGCUGGGACCCUGUCUGCUCAGCCUUAAUCUCACCUGCUAAAAGGCCCUUGAGGCUUUUUUGCUGCCCCCUAGGAUUGUAGAAUACAAUUUGAAGACCACCCGUCUAGCUGAGCUCUCAUUUUUUUUAUCUAUCUAUCUAUCUAUCUAUCUAUCUAUCUAUCUAUCUAUCUAUCUAUCUGUCUAUCUCUCAUUUUAUAUGUAAAGAAAAUAGGUUUCAGGGACCCAGAAAGGGGUGGUGGUUUGGCGGAGACCCCACUGGAAGCUGUCUCUGGCUAUCCUAAUCCACCCCACACCAUGCUUCUGGCAUAGUGGGUGCUCAGACACUCUGAGUCAGUGAAUUCAAGGAAUAAGUAAGAAAGAUUGAAUGUUUUUCUAAUGGAUCUUAUAUUUGCAAAUUAAAAAAAAAAGUAAGCAAUAUUUUGGGUGCAUAAUCCUCAACCAUGAUACUAGUCAUAUGGGUAGGAUGAAGAAUGGCCAGAAGGGUCACUGGGUACAAAGUUCAAAUGUGUCUGAUGGCCACUGAGUAGUUUCUCUUGGUUCUUGACCUGCAAUUUUUUAUCUUUGUCAUCCAGGCCCUUGCCAGCAUGGGUCAGAUGAAAGGGUCUAUGGGUUUUCAACAAGCCAGUAUUAGGAAAAGGCUGGUGGAGAGACUUUGUGUUUUGUUACCUAAGCUGGGAUUUGAUCUUCAGACCCUCAAGGUGAAAGGCUAAUACCUUAAUUUGUGUGUUUUAUAAACAACCCCAGGCGAUGACCUUCUCCUAGCCUCAUGUGAUACUCACAUUCUGCAGGACUUAAAGCUAAAAUUUCUGGCUGGGAAAAGUGAAGUGUUCUGCUGCACUUGAAAAUCAACAGAGUUGAUUAGUUGUUGGUGAGUGUUGCUUGCAUACAGUUGAAUAAAAACAUUUUGGGGGAAGUUUCCAGCAAAAUGGAUUUUUUAUUGAAAAAAUUAUGAUUAAAAAAAAACCUCUUUCUAGUACGACAUGUGUCCAGCAAAAUAAGGUAUUGCCCUGUAUAGCUUUUCCCUUUCUAAAAGCUUUCCUUUCAGGGUCAUCUUGAUUUUUCUGGUGUCAGUCAAAUUAUUUUUCAGCAGAGCAUGAAAAGUGGAGAUGGAGACACUCCAUGGCUGUGUAUUAGAACCACACUGAAAGUUUUUUGUUUUAUGUAAAUAGAGAUUGAUGGAACAUUUUACACAGAGUACAGGCUUUUGACAAAAAGUAUUGAUGGUUGCUUUCAGUAAGUGUUACUUGAGAUGACAGAACAUUGCAUUUUAAGAUGAAUUACACGAGAAACUCCCUCUUUGGGAAUGUCAUACAUUUUAUUUCAUCUGUUGUUUUAUGAGAGAAUGACUGAAGUCAUGAAUACCUUAGACUGAACUGUUUCCUUUGCACAUUGUAAGUCCCAGUUUGGUGCACUCCUAUUUUAAAUGUAAAGUUAUAGGGAAAAUAUUUAUACUGGCAAAUAAUAUUGAUAAAAAUGCUUAAAUGUUUAGAAGCAGAACAUAAUUUCUCACAUGGUUUCCUCUUGUGUGAUGGUGGUUUGUGGGAAGCCUGGGAGCCUGGGUAGAGUUAAACGUAUAUUUUCCAGAAAGAGCUCAGAUUUCUGGUAACUGGCUGGCUUUCUUUCUUUCUUUCUUUUUUGGUGGGGAGGAUGUGUUGGUGAUUUCUAUCCUCUGGCUCUAUUUAGGUUUUAAAAAAGCUCCAUUUGCAUCCAUUCCUAUACAGUAUAUAGGCAGACCUCAGAGAUACUGGAUAUUUGCUUCCAGACCACUGAAGUAUAGUGAGUCAUACAAAUUUUCUGCUUUCUCAAUACAUACAAAAGCUAUGUCAACACUAUACUGUAGUCUAUUAAGAGUACAUAGCAUUAUGUCUAAAAAAAAUGUAUAUACCUUAAUUAAACAUACUCUAAUAUUGGAAUACUACUCAGCCAUAAAAAAGAAUGAAAUGAUGCCGUUCACAGCAGCAUGGAUAGACCUAGAGAUUCUCAUAUUAAGUGAAAUAAGUCAAAGACAAAUAUAUGACGUCACUUAUAUGUGGAAUCUAAAAUAAGACACAAGUGAAGUUAUUUAUGAAACGGACUCACAGACAUAGCAGACCUGUGGUUGCCAAGGGGGAAAAGGGUGGGGGAGGGACAGACUGGGAGUUUGGGAUUAGAGAUGCAAACUAUUACAUAUAGAAUGGAUAAACAACAACUUCUGUAUAGUGUAGGGAACUAUAUUCAAUAUCAUGCAAUAAACCGUUAUGGAAAAGAAUAUGAAAAAGAGUGCAUCUAUAUGUAUACCUCAGUACUUUGCGGUACCCCAGAAAGUAACACAUUGUAAACCAACUGUACUUCAAUAAAAUAAAAAAAUACUCCAUUUUUAAAAAUUGAUAACUAUCAUUUGAGCCCUCAGUGCGUUGUAGUAACAUCAAAGAUCACUGCUCACAGAUCACCGUAACAAGUAUAAUAAUAAUAGUAAUGAAAAAGUUUGAAAUACUGUGAGAAUUGCCAAAAUGUGACAGAGACACAAAGUGAGCAAAUGUAGUUGGACAAAUAGACUUGCCCAAUGCAGUUGCCACAAACCUUAAGUUUAUUUAAAAAAAAAAAUGCAGUAUCUGUGAAGUUUAAGAACAUCAAAUGCAAUAAAAUGAGGUAUGCAUGAACUGUUAUUCCUUAUGCAGAGGGCUUGAAAGUCAGGGUCUGUGAUGACUUUGGUUUUUGGCUUUAAUUUUCUUUACAGUAUGAAUUUGGGGAUACUAGCUUAAUGUCACCAGGGGAUUAAUGGGUAUUAAUAGAUUCACUAUAUAUUUACCGUUUAUGGCAGAAAUUGGGCAUAUAGUGCUUGUAGCCCAGUGAGGAAGAGAGAAAUAAGCAUAAUAAAAUCUGAAGUAGUGAUGUAUGCUGUGAAGCAGAGAAAGCAGAGGGUAAGUGGUGAGUGUGUCAGAGAAGUGGGCUAAGGAGUUAUUUCAGAUAGUUGUUGGGGAACGUUGCUCUGAGAAGUAAUGUUCAGGCAAAGAACAGAAAGACGAGAUGGUUUGAGCCGUGCAAAGUUCUGGGAAUCUGGCAAAGGGAACAGAAAGUGUAAAGACCCUGGGGCCAGAACAAGUGUGGCCUCUUGGAGGAGCAGCAAGAAGGCAGUGGUGGGAGGGCUCCAGGUUUGGGGGCUGACCUGGUGGGCUUAUACGGAAGCCAGGUUCAAGAGGAAUGUGGUUCGGCACAUCUGUCUGUGUGUAGCUAUGGACUGCUGCUUAUAUGACCAUACUGUCUCCAUGUACCUAGAGAUGGCCAAACGGGCUUUCCUAUUUUCACCUUCCUUCCAUACAAACUUCUCAGUUCGCCAUUUGCACUCUUGCUCUACCAUGUACCGGAUGUCAAUGUAGUUAAAGGCUCAGUCAUCAGGGGGAUUUUAAACUUUUCCUCCCCUGGAAUGAAUCCUUCUAUUAAGUUCACUCUCACAUCCUUUGACUAUUACUCUCCACAGUGCUCACCCCACACUGUUAUUAUUAAUUGUAUGUGUGACAGUCAUGCCAGCUCUCACUCAUGUUGGGGCCCCUCGGGCUUUGCAUAGUGCCAGGCACCCAGUGAAAUCUCAAAAUAUUUGUCCGCUAAGUAGGUGAGACAGUUCCCUGCCUAGGACCUGCUUGCCCAAUAUGAGUUCUAGAAAUGAUGCCGAAUGCAGUUGCUGAACUCCUUCCAUAUCAAAAGAACCUUAAAAUUAACUUAGGGAAAU
rnacentral:lncRNA from 1 species